UAGGGAAUCUUCGGCAAUGGACGAAAGUCUGACCGAGCAACGCCGCGUGAGUGAAGAAGGUUUUCGGAUCGUAAAACUCUGUUGUUAGAGAAGAACAAGGACGUUAGUAACUGAACGUCCCCUGACGGUAUCUAACCAGAAAGCCACGGCUAACUACGUGCCAGCAGCCGCGGUAAUACGUAGGUGGCAAGCGUUGUCCGGAUUUAUUGGGCGUAAAGCGAGCGCAGGCGGUUUCUUAAGUCUGAUGUGAAAGCCCCCGGCUCAACCGGGGAGGGGCAUUGGAAACUGGGAGAAUUGAGUGCAGAAGAGGAGAGUGGAAUUCCAUGUGUAGCAGUGAAAUGCGUAGAUAUAUGGAGGAACACCAGUGGCGAAGGCGGCUCUCUGGUCUGUAACUGACGCUGAGGCUCGAAAGCGUGGGGAGCAAACAGG
rnacentral:rRNA from 1 species